AAAAAAGGUAAGCUACUAAGAGCGAAUGGUGGAUGCCUUGACUGGUAAAGGCGAUGAAGGACGUACUAGACUGCGAUAAGCUACGGGGAGCUGUCAAGAAGCUUUGAUCCGUAGAUUUCCGAAUGGGGCAACCCAAUGUAUAGAGAUAUACAUUACCUAUAUAGGAGCGAACGAGGGGAAUUGAAACAUCUUAGUACCCUCAGGAAAAGAAAUCAAUAGAGAUUGCGUCAGUAGCGGCGAGCGAAAGCGCAAGAGGGCAAACCCAGUGCUUGCACUGGGGGUUGUAGGACUGCAAUGUGCAAGAGGUGAGUUUAGCAGAACAUUCUGGAAAGUAUAGCCAUAGAGGGUGAUAGUCCCGUAUGCGAAAAACAAACCUUAGCUAGCAGUAUCCUGAGUAGGGCGGGACACGAGGAAUCCUGUCUGAAUCUGGGUCGACCACGAUCCAACCCUAAAUACUAAUACCAGAUCGAUAGUGCACAAGUACCGUGAGGGAAAGGUGAAAAGAACUGAGGUGAUCAGAGUGAAAUAGAACCUGAAACCAUUUGCUUACAAUCAUUCAGAGCCCUAUGUAGCAAUACAGGGUGAUGGACUGCCUUUUGCAUAAUGAGCCUGCGAGUUGUGGUGUCUGGCAAGGUUAAGCAAACGCGAAGCCGUAGCGAAAGCGAGUCUGAAUAGGGCGCUUAGUCAGAUGCUGCAGACCCGAAACGAAGUGAUCUAUCCAUGAGCAAGUUGAAGCUAGUGUAAGAACUAGUGGAGGACUGAACCCAUAGGCGUUGAAAAGCCCCGGGAUGACUUGUGGAUAGGGGUGAAAGGCCAAUCAAACUUCGUGAUAGCUGGUUCUCUCCGAAAUAUAUUUAGGUAUAGCGUUGUGUCGUAAUAUAAGGGGGUAGAGCACUGAAUGGGCUAGGGCAUACACCAAUGUACCAAACCCUAUCAAACUCCGAAUACCUUAUAUGUAAUCACAGCAGUCAGGCGGCGAGUGAUAAAAUCCGUCGUCAAGAGGGAAACAACCCAGACUACCAGCUAAGGUCCCUAAAUCUUACUUAAGUGGAAAACGAUGUGAAGUUACUUAAACAACCAGGAGGUUGGCUUAGAAGCAGCCAUCCUUUAAAGAAAGCGUAAUAGCUCACUGGUCUAGUGAUUUUGCGCGGAAAAUAUAACGGGGCUAAAGUAAGUACCGAAGCUGUAGACUUGCGCACAACUUAGAUUAUUUAAGUUUAGAAUAUGAGAAACUAAGUUAUAUGUUUAGUUAUAUUUUUACUGAUUUUUAUAGAGUAAAGAUAGAAAUAAAACUUAGUAAAAUCAGUAAAAAUAUUCUUAGACUAAAGUUAAGUAGUUUAAGUUGUGUGCAAGUGGUAGGAGAGCGUUCUAUUUGCGUCGAAGGUAUACCGGUAAGGAGUGCUGGAGCGAAUAGAAGUGAGCAUGCAGGCAUGAGUAGCGAUAAUUAAUGUGAGAAUCAUUAACGCCGUAAACCCAAGGUUUCCUACGCGAUGCUCGUCAUCGUAGGGUUAGUCGGGUCCUAAGUCGAGUCCGAAAGGGGUAGACGAUGGCAAAUUGGUUAAUAUUCCAAUACCAACAUUAGUGUGCGAUGGAAGGACGCUUAGGGCUAAGGGGGCUAGCGGAUGGAAGUGCUAGUCUAAGGUCGUAGGAGGUUAUACAGGCAAAUCCGUAUAACAAUACUCCGAGAACUGAAAGGCUUUUUGAAGUCUUCGGAUG
rnacentral:rRNA from 1 species